rnacentral:rRNA from 1 species
AUACGUAGGGAGCGAGCGUUGUCCGGAAUUACUGGGUGUAAAGGGUGCGUAGGCGGGGCUGCAAGUCAGAUGUGAAAUGUAUGGGCUCAACCCAUGAACUGCAUUUGAAACUGUGGCUCUUGAGUGAGGUAGAGGUAAGCGGAAUUCCUAGUGUAGCGGUGAAAUGCGUAGAUAUUAGGAGGAACAUCGGUGGCGAAGGCGGCUUACUGGGCCUUUACUGACGCUGAGGCACGAAAGCGUGGGGAGCAAACAGGAUUAGAUACCCUGGUAGUCCACGCUGUAAACGAUGAUGACUAGGUGUGGGGGGACUGAACCCUUCCGUGCCGCAGUUAACACAAUAAGUCAUCCACCUGGGGAGUACGGCCGCAAGGUUGAAACUCAAAUGAAUUGGCGGGG